UACAGAGGGUGCAAGCGUUAAUCGGAAUUACUGGGCGUAAAGCGUGCGCAGACGGUUGCGUAAGUCAGAUGUGAAAGCCCCGGGCUCAACCUGGGAAUUGCAUUUGAGACUGCGUAGCUAGGGUGCGGAAGAGGGAAGCGGAAUUUCCGGUGUAGCGGUGAAAUGCGUAGAUAUCGGAAGGAACACCAGUGGCGAAAGCGGCUUCCUGGUCCAGCACCGACGUCAGGCACGAAAGCGUGGGGAGCAAA
rnacentral:rRNA from 1 species